CCAAGGAAGAUUUUCUAAUCCAGCUGUGGGAUAAUUAGUAUCCCGCACACAAUGAAAAAAUUAUGAACCACACAAGCACCUUCUGAACCACGUAAGGAACAUCUUGAUGUCACCAAAACAAGAUAUGGCAAUCCAGCUGUGGAAUACGUUGUAUUCUGCACCCAGACCCAGAGUGCAUAAAUAUGAACUGCCAAAGCACCUUCAGGGUGGAUCUUCCCAAUUUCCCACUUCCUGUCCUGCCAUGGCAUGGCACAAGUUGGAGGUACAUCGGAUGAGGUUUCAGGGACGGAUGUGAUACCAGGAGAAGAAAGGGAAGCCAAAACUCCAGGCAUUUCCCCUCUAUGGUCGGUGUUAGAGGAUACAUUUUUCAUGAAUGGCCGGAGUGCCUUUAUUAAUGGUUCAUUCAAUAAAGUCAAGAAG